rnacentral:rRNA from 1 species
GAUGCGCCAGCGGCAGACGAGGUAGUAACACGUAGGUACGUCCCCCAUAGUCGGGCAUAGCCAGCCGAAAGGUUGGGUAAUUCCCGAUAGUCCCGCAAGGGUAAAGUUUUUCGCUAUGGGAGCGGCCUGCGUUGUAUCAGCUUGUUGGUGAGGUAAUGGCUCACCAAGGCUACGACGCAUAGGGGAGGUGAUAGCCUGACCCCCACCGAUGGAACUGAGACACGGUCCAUACUCCUACGGGAGGCAGCAGCCGAGAAUAUUCCGCAAUGGACGAAAGUCUGACGGAGCGACGCCGCGUGAAGGAUGAAGGCCCUUGGGUCGUAAACUUCUUUUAUGAGGGAGGAAAUUUUGACGUUACCUCAUGAAUAAGAGGCUCCUAAUUCCGUGCCAGCAGGAGCGGUCAUACGGAAGCCUCGAGCGUUACCCGGAAUCACUGGGCGUAAAGGGUGUGUAGGUGGAGGUAUUAGUCUUCUGUUAAAGACCGGGGCUCAACCCCGGGAAUGCGGAGGAAACGGUACCACUAGAGGAUAUGAGAGGUGUGCGGAACUCAUGGUGUAGGGGUGAAAUCCGUUGAUAUCAUGGGGAACACCAAAUGCGAAGGCAGCACACCGGCAUAUUCCUGACACUGAGACACGAAAGCGUGGGUAGCGAAUGGGAUUAGAUACCCCAGUAGUCCACGCCCUAAACGUUCCUAACUAGCUUUGGGGAGUAUCGACCCUCUCCGAGGCAAAGCCAACGCGUUAAGUUAGGCGCCUGGGUAGUACGAGCGCAAGCUUAAAACUCAAAGGAAUAGACGGGGACUCGCACAAGCGGUGGAGCGUGCGGCUUAAUUCGUCGCUAAGCGAAGAACCUCACCAAGGCUUGAAACCUAGCUGAAAGCUCUAAGAAACUAGAGCCCUCUUCGGACUGCUAGGCAGGUGAUGCAUGGCCGUCGUCAGUUCGUGGUUUGAAUUGUACCGUUAAGUCGGGCAACGAACGCAACCCCUGCUGUCUGUUACACGUAUCAGGCAGGACUGCCCUUUUUGGGAGGAAGGUGGGGAUGAUGCCAGGUCCGUAUUUCCCUCUGAUGCCUUGGGCGGCACGCGCGCUACAAUGGGUGCUACAACGGGACGCGACGAGGUAACUCUGAGCAAAUCCUAUAAAAGCAUCCUCAGUUCGGAUUGUGGGCUGCAACUCGCCCACAUGAAGUCGGAAUCGCUAGUAAUCGCAGGUCAGCUAUACUGCGGUGAAUACGUUCUCGAGUCUU